rnacentral:tRNA from 1 species
GGAGAGUGGGCAGGACGGUAAUGCGUGAGUCUUGAAAACUCAUGAGCGUAAGCUCUAACAGGUUCGACCCCUGUACUCUCCG